rnacentral:rRNA from 1 species
GACAGCAGUCGCCGCGGUAAUACGAAGGGGGCUAGCGUUGUUCGGAAUCACUGGGCGUAAAGCGCACGUAGGCGGACUUUUAAGUCAGGGGUGAAAUCCCAAGGCUCAACCUUGGAACUGCCUUUGAUACUGGAAGUCUUGAGUUCGGGAGAGGUGAGUGGAACUGCGAGUGUAGAGGUGAAAUUCGUAGAUAUUCGCAAGAACACCAGUGGCGAAGGCGGCUCACUGGCCCGAUACUGACGCUGAGGUGCGAAAGCGUGGGGAGCAAACAGGAUUAGAUACCCCCGUAGUCCCUGUCUCUUAUAC